UUGAUUUUUCUGCCAUAUGAUUUAAAGCUCGCUUUGACGACUGCUCUCUUCUCCCCCUUACAAAUUCCCCACCUCCCCCCCUCGGAUCUGCACAACACAGAGCACGAAGCCUAAGACUCGCAGUUAGAUGGCUUCGUCCAGCAUUCUCUCCCUCUCCUUCUUCUUCUUCUUCUUCUUCUCCCUUCUUGUCACCCUCUCCCAUGCCGCCACCUUCGAGAUCGUGAACCGAUGCUCUUACACAGUGUGGGCCGCGGCCGUGCCUGGCGGCGGACGCCAGCUCAACCAGGGGCAGUCGUGGACCAUCAACGUGAACGCGGGAACCACCGGCGGCCGCAUCUGGGGCCGCACCGGCUGCUCCUUCGACGGGAGCGGACGCGGGCGGUGCCAGACGGGCGACUGCGGCGGCGUGCUGUCAUGCACGGCGUACGGCAGCCCGCCCAACACCCUGGCGGAGUUCGCGCUCAACCAGUUCAACAACCUCGACUUCUUCGACAUCUCCCUGGUCGACGGCUUCAACGUGCCAAUGGACUUCAGCCCCACGUCAGGCGGCUGCCGCGGCAUCCGGUGCGCGGCGGACAUCAACGGGCAGUGCCCCGGGGCGCUGAAGGCGCCGGGCGGCUGCAACAACCCCUGCACCGUGUUCAAGACGGACCAGUACUGUUGCAACUCCGGCAGCUGCAGCCCGACCGACUACUCCCGGUUCUUCAAGAGAAACUGCCCCGACGCCUACAGCUAUCCCAAGGACGAUCAGACGAGCACCUUCACCUGCCCCGGCGGCACCAACUACAGGGUUGUCUUCUGCCCUUGAGAUCACUGACGCCACUAAUAAGCCGCCCUCGUGCAGGCAACCACGCAUAUAGAUAUAUAUACUAGUCUCCUACAAUACAAAUAAGAUGUCAAGAGUGAUGGAAGGUAUUAGCCUUCUCUUGGGCUAAUACUGUUGACUGAUGUAAUAGAAGUGGUGCAACCAACUAAUAAGAUGCAUAAUAUCAUCACAGCAUGAGUGCUUUUCCAUUGAUGUUUGAAUCAUUUUGUGAGAGCAAUCAGCUUAUGCAAUCAGCAAAAAGAAUAAUUAAACCAUUUCUAUUUAUGUCUUGUUGGCUUAAAACAUGAAUUGAUUUUGAAACAUAAUGAACCCUACAUAUAUAACUUCAUAAAAGAUAUCUCAAGGACCAUACAUUAUACAUACAUAUAUACAUAUAUAUACAUAUAUAUACACAUAUAUAUAUACAUAUAUAUACACAUAUAUAUACAUAUAUAUAUAUAUACAUAUACAUAUAUAUAUAUAUAUNNNNNNNNNNNNNNNNNNNNUAUGUAUAUAUAUAUAUGUAUAUAUAUAUAUAUCAUUUAGGAUGAUGAGUCAUCGCCUAUCCAAUUUGGACCUCUGCCAUUCUCCGUAGAAACUUUGCGUAGCCAUUUUCCAAUACAAUUGCGCGUUGACCAGAGUGCGUCCAUGUGAUCCUCCCCGGUAAGUUUGGUGCCCGAAAUUAUCCGGCAAGUAUGGCUUUAAAUAUUGGAAUUAGUUGCUCUUUGUUUUACGUAGGCCGAUCAAGAUGAACAGAGAGAAUGAUGCUGACUAAUUGAGCCCUGACCAAUCGAGGGCUUCAGGACUCGAGCCCCGACGCGCCCUCGGGAAGCUGCCGCGGGAGGCGGACAUCGAUGGGCAGUGCCCGCAGGUGUUGAGGGCGCCGCGGCGGGUGCACCGCUCGACCGUGUCCAAGGCGGACCGGUACUGCUGCAGCUCCUGCAACUGUGCGUCAAGCGGCUACUUCAGCUUCUUGAGGAGGAACUGCACCGAUGGCUAUAUCUUCCCACAACCUUACGGCCUGGCUUCCACCACUAGUUUCUACGGUAGUCUUCCUCCUCCAAGAGUCGAAUUCAGCUUCCUACAAGAUUAUAAUGAUGGUUUGUAUCAAUUAGUUGUUAAAUUGUAUUUUGGAACCUAAUACAUAUUUUAAAUAUAAAUUCAUAUUUAAAGUUUCUUUAACAUCACAUUUGUCAUGAAUAUAGUGUCAGUAAAUGCUUAAAUUCUGAAACUAUCUUAGAAUAAUUAUAACAUCUCGAGUAAUCUCACAUAAAAAAUGAAUAAGAUUAAAAUUAACUUAUGAUAGUAUAUUACUAUCAAUAUUAAUUUGAAUAUUUUGAUUGCUUGGAUUCAAGAAAAUUGAUAAGUCAAUUAGUUAAUCAAUUGUGACAUUCGAUAUCAAAUUAGUAUUAGGAUAUAGUAUAAUCAAAUUACUAUUAGCGUAUCGUGAGUGAGCUUCGUACUCGUUCAUUGUGAAGUCAUCUUGGGCUAUGUCUUACAUGCCGCGCUAUAUUGAGUCUUUGACAAUGAUUAAUUUUUUUUUUAUAGUUCACACAUAAAAAUAGAUUUUGAACUAUUUAAUUUUAAAAAUCAUAUUAUUUAUUAUAAAAUAUAUUUAUUAAAAUUUAAUUAACUAAUAAAAUUAUUAACUUAUUCACAUAAUUAAGAAAAUCAAUUUUAAUCAUUUUCUUAGCCAUACUAUACAAACAAAAUCACAAUGUAUAUAUUUUUCUUAAAUUUUUAUCUUAAAUGCAUGUUGCUAAUUAUAAUACUUGAUUUAUAUUUAGAUUUAUAUGAUAGUUGAUUAAAAAUAUUAUUUCUUCUCUUAUGUAAUUUUAUCUUUUUAAUAAUCUAUUGUUUAUUAUAUUUUAAUGACUCAAUGCUUGGGAUUAGAUGUUUUUUACUAUAAUUUCAUAAUGCUAUAAUUUAGAAUUGAAGAAAUUGAUUAGGAUUUGGGUUAUAUCUCACACGUACAAUCUUAGAGUUUGAGUUGGGUUUUAAUAAGGAUCAUUUAUUUUUUAUAUAAUAUUUAUUUCCUAUGAUUCACACAUAAAAAUAAAAUUUAAAUUAUUUACUUUCUAAAAAUUGCAUCACUCGUUGAGAAACGAAUCAAUUAAUAAUUUAAUUAAUUUAGUAAUCAUAUUACAUAAAUAAAAUCAUAAUGUGUAGUAUUUUAAAAUUUUUUAUCUUACAUGCAUGAUGCACGAUGAUAAUUAUAAUCCUUGGUUUCUAUUAUAUUUAUAUAGUAAUUUAUUAAAAAUAUUAUUUUCUCACUAAUGUAAUUUUAUUUUAAAAUUUAUUACUAUUUAUUAUGUUUUUAAUGACUCAAUACUAAUGAUCAGAUAUUCUAAUUAGUAGUCAUAUUAGUAAUCAUUAAGAAAUUUAAUUUAAAUUAUUUCAGUAAUAAUAUUACAUAAAUAAAAUCAUAAUGUGUAGUAUUUUUAAAAUUGUUAUCUUACAUGCAUGAUGCAUGAUGAUAAUUAUAAUACUUGGUUUCUAUUAGAUUUAUAUAAUAAUUUAUUAAAAUAUUAUUUUCUCACUUAUGUAAUUUUAGUUUUAAAAUUUAUUACUAUUUAUUAUGUUUUUAGUGACUCAAUACUAAUGAUCAGAUAUUCUAAUUAUAUUUUUUAUAUUUUAAAAUUAAGAGAAUUGAUUAAGAUUUAAGUUGAAAUCAACAAACAAUUAGAGCUAACCCAUAGGCUAGCCACAACUCGUAGAUUAAGCUCAGCAAGCAAGUCAACCCAUAGCCUAUAGGACUCCAAUAUGAUCAGUUAUGUAAUGUACAGACCAAGUCAGAUUUCAUAAACUUAGAUAGAUUCAAGGUAAUUCUAAACUUAUUUAGUCUAUUCAUGUCUAUCUAAUCUAAAUCGAACUCAAUCUAGUCCAAAGUAUACAAGUCUAAGAUGAUUCUAGACUGAUUAAAUGAGAAUUAAAAAUCGAUUUUAUUAUACUAGAGUUAAAUCGAGUUCAAUUGAUUUUAAUUAAACUCGUUUAGAUCGAUUAAGUUCUAGUUAAAUCAGGUUCAAUUAGACCGAUUGAGUUAAGUUAGAUAAAACCUAGGGAUAUGAGUUAUAAAUAAUAUUCAUCAAAUUUCUUCAAUCUAAUUUAUGCUAAAAUAGUUCAAUAAUAAAAAAUAAUAACUGCAAUAAUUAUUGAAUGUUAAUCAGUAUAAUGAAAAAUUCAUAUAAUAACUAUAAUUAUGAUAAGUCAUGAAUUAUAUUUUUAUAUAAUUUUCAAACAUAUUAUAUAAAUAAUCAAAUAAAUAUCCAAGAAAAAUAAUUAGAUUUUUAUUUAUCACAUGCAAAAUUUUAUCAAUAUGACAAAUAAGAAAAUUAUUAAAGAAAAAUCAUAAUUUAUAUUUUUAAAAUUUUGUAUGAACCCUUAUACCAAUCAACCCUAUUUAAUUAGGUAAGCCCAUAAUUGGACUACCUAAAUUGGGCUAACAAUUUGCCUAAUUAGACCCAUUAAGAUUAAAGUUGAUCAAAAUAAAAAAAAGAUCAAAAAUAACUUUUUUUUAAUUUGAUCAAAAACUUAAUUGGUCGAAUUUAAAUCCAACCAAAUAGUUAAAAUAUAGUAAUGAUUAAGCUCGUUUAAAAGAUUUGAUUAAAAUAAAUCAAAUUAAUAAAUUUUAUAAUUGAGGGCAUAUCUCAAAAUAUUUUAAUUCAAAAGGGUAAAACUAUAAUUUUACUGGGAUAUGUAGAGAAAAUAUCUAAUUUCUGAAGAAUAUAAUUAUCAAAAGGACACAAGUUGAAAUUAAAAGACUUUAUAAGAAUAAAUUUAUAAUUUUAAAAAUAAAUCCUAAUCUUUCACCCAGAAAGGCUCUCUCGCAUUUGUCAUUGGUUCCACCAUGCCCACACGCAAAAGUCAACACCGCAGUGUUCGCCCACCACCUGCAUGGACAACGAGGCAGUUGUCCUUAUGCAUUCAAACGAUAACCUCAUCGGUCGUCGCGUUGUGCCAUGCUCAUGAGUGGCUAUUAUCAUCGUGCGCUUGACUAUAACACUUCAAAAACAAUAUGUAUGUCACUGACCGGAAGCUAUCGCGUAGUUACGCACACAUGCCGAUCGAUAACCCCCAGAAUCACUUUGAUGUGUGACUGUGCUCGCUUGUCUUGCUACAUAGUCGUUGGGAACAAUGGCUUUCAGUGUCCAAUCGAUGUUGACCAUGGCCAACAAGCACUACCACAGUGGUAUUACUGUAACCAUUGUACGUAGUGAAGCUAUAUAGCCACUAUAGGUGCAUGCGCACAUAGUGGCACUGUUACAAUCAUCGCACUUAGUAUUAUACCCCAUGGUGCUUCCAUUAGGUACGCAAUUGCUACUCGCGAUUGAACUAAUGACAAUCAAAAGUUGUCGCUCUUAACCAUAUUGUUAUCGACAAUAAGCUAGUCACAGUGAUCCAUUGAUCAAGUACGAGAAAAUUCAUAUCUCCCACAAAUAGGUGAUAAGAUCGAUUAAAUAGAAAAAUAGAUCAAUAAUAUAUAUGAAUCAUUCAUACAUCGUAAAUAAAAAAUUGAAUAACACUUUUUCAUAAGCCAAAGAUGCUAACAAAUAUAUCUAAAAUAAUUUAUUUUACAAACAUGACUCUGAUAUCAAUUGUAAGUAUAAAAACCAUCCUUAUGCUAUUGUUAUGCAGAAAACUUUAACACCAAAAUCUAAAAUCAAAUAAUAAUAGAUAAGAUUCAUGAUACGUACAUUUUGAUGCUAGUUAAAAAAGCUCUUAUAUGAUCUAUAGGUACACCAUCGUUGGAUCUGAAAGUUAUAGUAAUAUCGAUCUAUAAGAAGAAUUAGACUCAUCGUUUUCUCAUUUUCUAUCCUUUAUAGGACCACUACAAUGGAUUUAGAGACUAAGGGGAGAUGAGAGAAGAUUUAUAAUUUCUCACUGACUUAUUCACAAAAAUUUAUAAUUUUUUAAUAAUAUUUUGUAAACACGUAUCGUUUUUAUCUUCUUAUAGUAUUUCUAGGUGAGAAUAGAAAAUCUAUGAUAAGUAAUGAAUAGGGUCUUUCUAAUCAAAAUCUAUCUCUUAACGAAUUUUAUGAUAAUUUAAUUUUUUAUCAAUCUAUAAUCAUAAUUAAAAUUUAAUCAUAUCUAUAAUAUAUCUUAAAUAAAUAAUUAGUGAUAUAUAAUCUGACACCUCUCUCUUCUCUCCCUUAUAAAUUCCCCACCUCUCCACCCCUCGGAUCUGCACAACACAGAGCACGAAGCCUAAGACUCGCCGUUAGAUGGCUUCGUCAAGCAUUCUCUCCCUCUCCUUCUUCUCCCUUCUUGUCACCCUCUCCCAUGCCGCCAACUUCGAGAUCGUGAACCGAUGCUCUUACACAGUGUGGGCCGCGGCCGUGCCCGGCGGCGGACGCCAGCUCAACCAGGGGCAGUCGUGGACCAUCAACGUGAAAGCGGGAACGACCGGCGGCCGCAUCUGGGGCCGCACAGGCUGCUCCUUCGACGGGAGCGGCCACGGGCGGUGCCAGACGGGCGACUGCGGCGGGUUGCUGGCGUGCACGGCGUACGGUAGCCCGCCCAACACCCUGGCGGAGUUCGCGCUCAACCAGUACAGCAACCAAGACUACGUGGACAUCUCCCUGGUCGACGGCUUCAACGUGCCUAUGGACUUCAGCCCCACGUCGGGCGGCUGCCGCGGCAUGCGGUGCACGGCGGACAUCAACAAGAAGUGCCCCACGGCACUGAAGGCGCCGGGCGGCUGCAACAACCCCUGCACCGUGUUCAAGACGGACCAGUACUGCUGCAACUCCGGCAGCUGCCAGCCGACCGAGUACUCCAAGUUCUUCAAGAGCAACUGCCCCGACGCCUACAGCUAUCCGAAGGACGAUCCGACGAGCCUCGUCGCCUGCCCCGGCGGCACCAACUACAGGGUUGUCUUCUGCCCUUGAGAUCACCGACGCCACUAAUAAGCCUCCCUCGUGUAGGCAACCACGCAGAUAUAUAUAUAUAUAUAUAUNNNNNNNNNNNNNNNNNNNNCCCGACGCCUACAGCUAUACCGAAGGACGAUCCGACGAGCCUCGUCGCCUGCCCCGGCGGCACCAACUACAGGGUUGUCUUCUGCCCUUGAGAUCACCGACGCCACUAAUAAGCCUCCCUCGUGUAGGCAACCACGCAGAUAUAUAUAUAUAUAUAUAUAGCAGUCUCCUACAAC
rnacentral:lncRNA from 1 species